rnacentral:rRNA from 1 species
AACGCGAAGAACCUUACCCGGGCUUGACAUCUAGAGGAAGACUGCAGAGAUGUAGUCGCCGGGGCAACUCGGUCUUUAGACAGGUGCUGCAUGGUUGUCGUCAGCUCGUGCCGUGAGGUGUUAGGUUAAGUCCUGCAACGAGCGCAACCCUCAUUCUUAGUUGCCAGCGGGUUAUGCCGGGAACUCUAAGAAAACUGCCGCUGAUAAGGCGGAGGAAGGUGGGGAUGACGUCAAAUCAGCAUGGCCCUUACGUCCGGGGCUACACACGUGCUACAAUGGGGGAUACAACGGGAAGCGAAAGAGCAAUCUGGAGCCAAUCCCACAAAAUCCUCCUCAGUUCAGAUCGUAGGCUGCAACCCGCCUACGUGAAGGCGGAAUCGCUAGUAACCGCAGAUCAGAAUUGCUGCGGUGAAUACGUUCCCGGGCCUUGUACACACCGCACUACUA